AUUGAACGCUGGCGGCAUGCCUUGCACAUGCAAGUCGAACGGCAGCACGGAGCUUGCUCUGGUGGCGAGUGGCGAACGGGUGAGUAAUAUAUCGGAACGUACCCUAGAGUGGGGGAUAACGUAGCGAAAGUUACGCUAAUACCGCAUACGAUCUAAGGAUGAAAGUGGGGGAUCGCAAGACCUCAUGCUCGUGGAGCGGCCGAUAUCUGAUUAGCUAGUUGGUAGGGUAAAAGCCUACCAAGGCAUCGAUCAGUAGCUGGUCUGAGAGGACGACCAGCCACACUGGAACUGAGACACGGUCCAGACUCCUACGGGAGGCAGCAGUGGGAAAUUUUGGACAAUGGGCGAAAGCCUGAUCCAGCAAUGCCGCGUGAGUGAAGAAGGCCUUCGGGUUGUAAAGCUCUUUUGUCAGGGAAGAAACGGUGGGAGCUAAUAUCUCUUGCUAAUGACGGUACCUGAAGAAUAAGCACCGACUAACUACGUGCCAGCAGCCGCGGUAAUACGUAGGGUGCAAGCGUUAAUCGGAAUUACUGGGCGUAAAGCGUGCGCAGGCGGUUUGUAAGUCUGAUGUGAAAUCCCCGGGCUCAACCUGGGAAUUGCAUUGGAGACUGCAAGGCUAGAAUCUGGCAGAGGGGGGUAGAAUUCCACGUGUAGCAGUGAAAUGCGUAGAUAUGUGGAGGAACACCGAUGGCGAAGGCAGCCCCCUGGGUCAAGAUUGACGCUCAUGCACGAAAGCGUGGGGAGCAAACAGGAUUAGAUACCCUGGUAGUCCACGCCCUAAACGAUGUCUACUAGUUGUCGGGUCUUAAUUGACUUGGUAACGCAGCUAACGCGUGAAGUAGACCGCCUGGGGAGUACGGCCGCAAGAUUAAAACUCAAAGGAAUUGACGGGGACCCGCACAAGCGGUGGAUGAUGUGGAUUAAUUCGAUGCAACGCGAAAAACCUUACCUACCCUUGACAUGGCUGGAAUCCUUGAGAGAUCAGGGAGUGCUCGAAAGAGAACCAGUACACAGGUGCUGCAUGGCUGUCGUCAGCUCGUGUCGUGAGAUGUUGGGUUAAGUCCCGCAACGAGCGCAACCCUUGUCAUUAGUUGCUACGAAAGGGCACUCUAAUGAGACUGCCGGUGACAAACCGGAGGAAGGUGGGGAUGACGUCAAGUCCUCAUGGCCCUUAUGGGUAGGGCUUCACACGUCAUACAAUGGUACAUACAGAGCGCCGCCAACCCGCGAGGGGGAGCUAAUCGCAGAAAGUGUAUCGUAGUCCGGAUUGUAGUCUGCAACUCGACUGCAUGAAGUUGGAAUCGCUAGUAAUCGCGGAUCAGCAUGUCGCGGUGAAUACGUUCCCGGGUCU
rnacentral:rRNA from 1 species